UACGUAGGGUGCGAGCGUUAAUCGGAAUUACUGGGCGUAAAGCGUGCGCAGGCGGUUCGUUGUGUCGGCGGUGAAAGCCCCGGGCUUAACCUGGGAAUGGCCGUUGAAACUGGCGAACUGGAGUGUGGCAGAGGGGGGUGGAAUUCCGCGUGUAGCAGUGAAAUGCGUAGAGAUGCGGAGGAACACCGAUGGCGAAGGCAGGUCUCUGGGCCACUACUGACGCUGAGAAGCGAAAGCGUGGGGAGCGAACAGG
rnacentral:rRNA from 1 species